CGCGCGACGAGGGUGAAGAAUGUGAAAGACUAGGAAAGAGUGAGAAUAAGAAACAGGCAGACAGGAGACACGGAAACUCCGACAGCUUCUCAUUAGACCGCACUGGGGCCACAGUUAGAAAUCAAUGGCCUUGCGCUUCAAGGGCGGACAGCUAGGGCAGUUAAGGGACCCGCGGGGCAGCCCCAAGCCAGUACCCCUCUCUUAAAGGGGAAGCGUCCUUUCUGGGAAGGGCUUUAAGAAAUGGAGCUCCAGCGGCUGGAGGCAAUUAAUGAGGAAUGACCUGGUCAAAAGACAAGAAGAGGACUUUGAGGAGAGGCAAAGUCCUGGAUAAAGAAAACUACAGGGAGUUCCCAUCAUCACUCAGAGGAUGCCAAGGAUAUUUCAUAAGCAAACUGACAUAAUUCAACUUCCUUUGGAUGGAUCCCAACAUUCUAGAACUUCUGUUUGGACCAAGUAAUUUACCAUGAGCGGAUUCAUCCUAACAUAUGGCUAUUCAAGUGUAAGAGAGUGUAAUAAGAGGAACAGGGACAUAUUCCAGUUACAGAUGUGAUUUCUAUGUAUUCAGAGGUAGGUGAAAAAGAAAUUGCGAAGUUGGCAGUGCUUCUUAUCCUUUGUACAUCUAAAGGCUGAGCUCAGUCGGCAGUGUAACCACCAAGCACAGCCUGGCACAGCUGUUCAUUCUUUCUCAUCGUCUUUUAUCUAUGUAGUGCUUUCCCCUUAAUGUGAGUCUUUGAAACUCUGAGAGCCAAGUGCUUCAUUUCCCAUCAUUCCACACCUAUGCCAAGUUUCUAAAUUGGCUUUGAUGUGCAUUUUAAAUGUCUUGGCAUCCUGCUGUCAUCAUUCCCUGGAUCUGUCCCACUCUAUGAAGCUGUGGUAUGAUUAUCACUGUCCCAAGUGAAGAGACCAGCUGCCUAUGGAAUCAUGAUGAUGUUUUGCUGCACCUUUUUGUAGUUCCUGCGUUACUGAUGACUGCUGGGGAGCACAAUGUGAGUGGGUAAGAGUUACAUGUGUUGAAAUCAUGUAGGGCUAUGUAGCUACCUGAGCUACUUUCCUUCAAUCUUGGCGUUUUAAUUCUAAAGUUUCAUUUUCAUUAUGGGUUGUAAUGGCUGCCAAGCUUAAACACUGCCAUCUUCAAAUGCUUUCUUUUCUCAGGCUGAGGAAUAAGCUUAGCAUUGUACAUAGAUUUAUAUUCUAGAUAAUGCCUUUUGGUGAGAAUUACCAUAUUUGGUGAGUAGCUCUCAGUGUGUAAUAGAUUUGUGAAAUAGAUGGUUUCUUUUUCCAAUUAAUAUAGCAUUUAAAGUUUUAAUGGCUUUCAUGAAAAAAUCCCAAAUAGAAACUGAUUUGUAGCUAAUCAUUCACCUCUGACUACAUGUUCAAUGACAUGAUUGUGUUUUUCUUGAUGUUGUUAUUUUUUUUCUUUUUUGGCUGCACCUUGGCAUAUGGAGUUGCUGGUCUAGGAGUCAGAUCUAAGACACAGCUGCAACCCAAGCCACAGCUGCUGCAAUGCUGGAUUCUUAACUCAUUGUUCUGGGCCAGGGAUUGAACCUGAGACCCAGCACUCCCAAGAAAUUACUGAUCCCAUUGUGCCACAGCAGGAACUCUGACAUGAAUGUUAUUAAAACACAUGACAGCAGUAAAAGCAAAAAUGAACACCCAAUUGCUAUCCCCCACUCCACCCAUAAAAUGCAAUUAGUGAAAACUUCUCAAAGAAAUAGGAGUCUAUUGUAAACACGUCCCUGUUUUACCUGUGCUAAUGAGAUAUUGCUCAAAAAAUGUGAUCUCAGUUUUUGUGCAUUUCUGGCUUUAAUAGUUGGAUUAAUCUCUUGAGGUACAUGAUAUCUGACCUUAAGGUACAGAAUCCAAAACUCUUAGAAUCUCUCCCAAAUGUCUCUUUGAGAUUCUUUCCCAGCAUGAAAAGGGAAGAUUAAUACUAGAAGAGAUCUUGGAUCUUAAUCCUUACAUCUGAAUAUCUACACUUUAAAUGAAAAAAGAGGAGUUCCCAUAGUGGCUUAGCAGGAACAAAUCUGUCUAGCAUCUAUGAGGAUGCAGAUUUGAUCCCUGGCCUCGUGCUCAGUGGGUUAAGGAUCCGUUGUUGCCCUGAUCUGUGGUGUAGGUCACAGAUGCGUCUUGGAUUUCACAUUGCUGUACUGUGGUGUAGGCCUGCGGCUACAGCUCUGAUUCUACUCCUAGCCUGGGAAACUCCAUAUGCUGCAGAUGCAGCCCUAAAAAGACAAAGAAAAGAAAAGAAAAGAAAAAAAAAAAGAAAGAUUCUAUAAUAAUUCAGUGCCUACUGAGUGCAAUAUACUGAUCUACUGUUCCAGGUUUUGUAGAGGAAAUCCUGCCAGGCAGGUAUGUUUGACAUUGAAUAUCCAUCUUCACUCUGCCCUCUGCCCCAAGGCUGACAUGUACAGAUUACAUCCACCAGCUUCUAAGCCCAUGGCCUCCAAUGGAAUGAACUAGUGAGGAGCCUGGGCAGAAGAUUGAUCAGAAGGAUGAAGUAGAAAGGAGGGUGACAAGGGUAUUAUUCCUCUGGACCCCUGGCUUUGCAAGGUCCUCUGACAGACUGCUCAGCAGUGACAAUAACCCACUCUCCUCUCACUGUGUGCUCUCACCUUCUGGCUCCAAUAAGCUCAUCCUUCCCUCUUUUUUAAGACCAUGUGUUUGUGACAGCUUUGCUGUUGCUGGGCUGGCCUCCUGCACUAUGCCCUGUGCAUUCCUGAUUCCCCAGUCAGACUUUUAUAAUUAGUCCCCUUAUAAAUAAAUCCUUAUUAACUUA